UACGAAGGGGGCUAGCGUUGCUCGGAAUCACUGGGCGUAAAGCGCACGUAGGCGGAUUGCUAAGUCAGGGGUGAAAUCCUGGAGCUCAACUCCAGAACUGCCUUUGAUACUGGUGAUCUUGAGUUCCGGGAGAGGUGAGUGGAACUGCGAGUGUAGAGGUGAAAUUCGUAGAUAUUCGCAAGAACACCAGUGGCGAAGGCGGCUCACUGGCCCCGGUACUGACGCUGAGGCACGAAAGCGUGGGGGAGCAAACAGGG
rnacentral:rRNA from 1 species